UACGGAGGGAGCUAGCGUUGUUCGGAAUUACUGGGCGUAAAGUGCACGUAGGCGGCUUUGUAAGUUAGAGGUGAAAGCCUGGAGCUUAACUCCAGAACUGCCUCUGAUACAGCACGUCUUGAGUUCGAGAGAGGUGGGUGGAAUUCCUAGUGUAGAGGUGAAAUUCGUAGAUAUUAGGAAGAACACCGGUGGCGAAGGCGGCCCACUGGCUCGAUACUGACGCUGAGGUGCGAAAAGCGUGGGGAGCAAACAGG
rnacentral:rRNA from 1 species